AACUCUCUGGUUUUUGACUGUGCACCAUCGAAGAUUCACUCGCGAGUCUGCUGUCAGACUUUAGAGGUGCAUUGUGUUACGAGACCGCAGGAUGAACAAGCGGGACUAACUCCCUCAAGAGAGAUAACCAUUCCCAACACCCACAUCUCCCUCGACCAAUGGAGCACCUCACAACAGAGAUCUGAGGGGUGAAGAACAUGUCAGACAGAACUGCAGUCAGCUCAACUUCUUCAGUCCACAGAGAAUUCAAGGGAAACCUCUUCACCCACAGAGUGGUGACUAUUUGGAACCCAUC